UAACCCUACGGGACGCAGCAGUAGGGAAUCUUCCACAAUGGACGAAAGUCUGAUGGAGCAACGCCGCGUGAGUGAAGAAGGGUUUCGGCUCGUAAAGCUUUGUUGGUAGGGAAGAAAGAUAGAGGGAGUAACUUGCCUUUAUUUGACGGUAAUUACUUAGAAAGUCACGGCUAACUACGUGCCAGCAGCCCCGGUAAUACGUAGGUGGCAAGCGUUUUCCGGAUUUAUUGGGCGUAAAG
rnacentral:rRNA from 1 species